UUUGACAAACUAUAAAAGGUCAAGCCUGCCCAGUGACAUUGUUCAACGGCCGCGGUAUCCUAACCGUGCGAAGGUAGCGUAAUCACUUGUUCUUUAAAUGAGGACUAGUAUGAACGGCUUCACGAAAGCUAUACUGUCUCCUUUAUCCAAUCAGUUAAACUAAUUUCCCCGUGAAGAAGCGGGGAUACCCAUAUAAGACGAGAAGACCCUAUGGAGCUUUAAAUAUCUUUAGACAUUUGAAUAUGCACAAAUCUUAAAAUCACUAAAUUCAUCAUUUUGUCUUAAGUUUUAGGUUGGGGCGACCACGGAGAAAAAACCAACCUCCACAUGGAAAGACUCCCUUCUAAGCAAAAAGCUACAUCUUUAUGCAUCAACACAUUGACCUUAAUUGACCCA
rnacentral:rRNA from 1 species